GCAUGGAAUAGCCUUCUAGCUGAAGUGGUAGAGGUUAACACAGUAAAGGAGUUUAAGCAUGUGUGGGAUAGGCAUAAGACUAUCCUAACUAUAAGAUAAGGCCAGGGACUAAUGAAAGUAUUUAGAAAAUUGGGCAGACUAGAUGGGCCGAAUGGUUCUUAUCUGCCAUCACAUUCUAUGUUUCUAUGUUUCUAUUAUAUCCAAUAUUCAAGUAUUGCUUCUGAUAUAAGGAAGAGAACAAAUUAAUGAAAGUUUGUGUUUUAAUAUGU